AAGGCACUUUUGUUACCCAGAAGUCAGGCACUUAUAAAGGCUAUUUCUAUUACUUUUGCUUGUCAUCAGUUCAUUUCAGGAAAUAUAACAGCUCAACUUUCAACUGAAGAAGAGAAAGUGAAGAACUGAACAAUAUAAAAAGCGUGCUCUCCUCUGCUAUACUUACACAUCCACAUUUACCCUCCGUUUAGGGCAAGUUGGGAGCCCUGGGGUGGAAGAAGAACUGUUUAUAGAGGAGAGCUGAGGGUCUGUAGUUCAUGGCAAAGCUCCCAACAAUCUGGGCCAUAGCUGUUCAGACUUGGAAAGCACAUGAAAUUGGAGAUCACUGCUGCAGCUCAUGCUUCAACAGGGUAUGGAUUCAUGGAAAAUAUUAAUGAUUAACCUAAACUUAAGCAAUACAAUGAGAGGUUGUUACUUUGUACUGGCCAUCUUUGACUUGAUCCUCUAUACAAAUCCCAUGAAGAAUGAGUAUAAAGAAAAAGAAAAUGAUUGUUUCAUUUACAGGAAAUUUGGACACACAAAGAAAUCCAGGGAUGUCUAUGCACAGAGAAAAGGCCAAGUGAUAACACAGUGAGAAGGUGGCCAUCUGCAAGCCAACCAGAGUCCUAGGGAGAAGCCAGACCUGUUGACACCUUGACCCUGGAUUUCACAGCCUUUGGAAUUGUGAGAAAAUAAAUUUCUGUUGUUUAAGGCACCAAAUCUGAGAAAACAAAUUUCUGUUGUUUAAACCACCAAAUCUGUAGUAUUUUCUUAUGACAGUCCUAACAAAUUAAUACACAAUUUGAAUAAAUUAA